rnacentral:ncRNA from 1 species
GUUGAAGUUAGGAAUAAAUGAUUAUCGAGACCAGUCACAGAGAACAUUAAUAUCAGCUGAAAAUUAAUGUCUGGUUUUAAUCAGUGUUCACCUGAUUGAUGAAGUAUACGGGAUAUGCGUCACCAUAUAGACGCAGUAAGUGUCUGCAUAUGCAGAAAAUUAGGUGGUACCACGGAACUCCGUCCUUUUA